GUCUUCGUGGCUCAGUUGGUUAGAGCGUUGGUCUCAUAUGCUAAAUAUGAUCCUGAAGUCGCACUUCAGGGGCCAUCCAAAGGUCGAGAGUUCGAGUCUCUCCGAGGACA